UCAAUAAGCGGAGGAAAAGAAACUAACAAGGAUUCCCCUAAUAACGGCGAGUGAAGAGGGAAGAGCCCAAGAUUGAAAGCUGGCGUCUUCGGCGUCCGCAUUGUAAUCUCAAGAAGUGUUUUCCGCUUCGGACCAAGCCUAAGUCUCUUGGAAAAGAGCAUCGUAGAGGGUGAGAAUCCCGUACAUGGCUUGGAGCGCCCGAGGCUUUGUGAUACGCUUUCUAAGAGUCGAGUUGUUUGGGAAUGCAGCUCAAAAUGGGUGGUAAAUGCCAUCUAAGGCUAAAUAUUGGGGAGAGACCGAUAGCGAACAAGUACCGUGAGGGAAAGAUGAAAAGAACUUUGAAAAGAGAGUUAAACAGUACGUGAAAUUGCCAAAAGGGAAGGGUAGGAGGUCAGAGAUGCGGUCUGGGAUUCAGCCUGGCUUUUGCUUGGUGUUUUUCCCAGAUGGCAGGCCAACGUCGGUUUUGGGCACUGGAGAAGGGUGGGAGGAAUGUGGCACCCCUCGGGGUGUGUUAUAGCCUCCUACUGGAUACAGCGACCGAGACCGAGGACAGCAGCGCACUCGCAAGAGCGGGCCUUCGGGCACCUUUGCGCUUAGGGCGUUGGCAUAAUGGCCCUCUACCACCCGUCUUGAAA
rnacentral:rRNA from 1 species